rnacentral:tRNA from 1 species
GCCGGGAUGGUGGAAUUGGUUAUACACGCGACGCUUAAAACGUCGUGAGCCUAACGGCUCAUGUGGGUUCAAGUCCCACUCCCGGUA